UUUGAUUAUUAUCAUUUGUUAUGUUUCAGAGGUUAUUUGCAGUCACUUCUGCUAACGCAUGGGUGGUUUUGGUAAAUUUCUGACUUGGGCUGGCCUGCCACACAGAGGAAACGUCAAGCUACAAGGACACUGGGAAAAUCUGAUCUAGAUCCAGUCAUGUCGGGGUACAUGUGCAUCAGGAAGAGAACCCAUAAUGCCUCCCCUUGUUCCUUGCUGCUCAUUUUUUACCUUUGGAUUUUAUUCAUUUAAGUGACGGGUAUCUGGGCAAUACCAUUUUUGUGUGCAAGGGAUGCAGCACUACAGUGUUAGUAGUCUUGAACUGUGAGCAGGAUAAGUACGAAUGAGAUAUCUUAUAAUGAAGGAUGCAAUAUGUCAAAGAUAAAACAUUUAGAAACACUGCAUCUGACUAUUUUUCCAUGACAAUGAUAACUGCUGCUUCCUAAAAGAUGGUUUAGGUAAAGUGUUGGAUGCAGUUGGGAUGGCUGAGCAUUCUGAACUGUGAGGAUCUUCACUGUGAAAAUAGGAAUUCAUAAAAAACCCCCCAAUCAUUAAAUACAAAUGUAUUUAAAUAUAAAAAUAACUAAAAUUGAACUUGGAACUCUCAUUUCAGUAAAAACAAAACAAAAUUAGAGAGUUGUCCUGGGUGUCAGGAUGAGGGACAAAAUGGAUUAUGAUAGCCCAAUUAUUUGUAUUAUGAGAGCCAGCACUGUGGAAAUGAGUCCUAAAAGGAAGCACAUGAUUUGCUUUACUCAGAUUUUAAACCAAACAACAGGCAGGCUUCUACUAGUCAAAGGAAAAAAAAGCCUUCAGCAGAAUCCAGAAGCAAGAGGGCCUGCUCUACAUGGAGGCCUUGCUGGAGGCGUUAGUCAGUGCACAUGACAUGCCCCGAGACCUGCAGUGGCCAGGGCAAAACCUGUGCUCUCCUCUGGUGGCCAGGGUGCUCUGUGUAGGGUGAACCAUGUAGGGCUGGUAUGAGACCAUCUGGGACAGGUUGCUGAGAGGAUGGAGAUGGAAGGGAAUAAAUGAAUAAGCCAAGAAAACAACUCAGCAGGUCGCAGGAGAGCAGAUCCUGGAGGAGUUACCACCUGUCAGCAGAUAUCUUGGCUCACAUUUAGAAGUUGUAGUGUAUGUGCAAGAUCAGCAUUUGAGACCAGGCAAAACAACAGAGCCUUAAGACCUGAAGGGUCAACAGCUUGGAUAGCAAGGUCUAGCAUGAAAAGAAAAGAGGAGAAAUAGAAGGAGAAACAUUGCAUUGGCUUGUCAGGCACUUCCAAAAUGAGGACGGAGGGGGAAUAAAAAAUCCAAACUAAAAAGAGAGAAAAGAAGGGAAAACAAAAGAGGAAAAUUUUCAGGACACAGAAAUGGAAGGAGGUGAACUAGUCAUUCCCCACUGCAUAUUCUCCAUCUGAGCCCAUGAAUAUAUGGAUGCUGCUACUUUCCAGAGCUGCUGUGAGCUUAAAAGAAUUGUCAUGUCUCAGCUAAAACGGAACAGAAUUGUUCAUCUGAGGCAAAGAGGUG